AAUAAAGUGCCUGAUAAAAGGAUUAAUCUGAUAGGUUAAAUAAUGUAACUUAAAUUACCUUUAUUA
rnacentral:tRNA from 1 species